rnacentral:piRNA from 1 species
AGAUUCCUCGCUGGUUCUUCUGG